AAAGUCAGGUCUUGGGUGACAAUCCUGGAAUUUUUAGAACAAAACAAUUUUCCAUUAGAUCCCACUAAAUUUUACCUAAAAGCGCCUCGUUCCACAAAUACUCUGACUAGCAAACCUGUAUACUAGAACACUGACAGAAAAUACACACCUAAGGGAGAAAUCCCAAGGAAAUUUAACUUUUUUGUUGGAUAGUACACUAACUGAAAGUGCAUUCUGUGUGAAGAUUUACUUCAUUAUAGGCUGAGUUCAGCAAUGCUGCUGCAAACGCAGACUUGGUCCUUUGACACCACACAGAAUGCUGAGAGCUUUGGACUCAAUCCAGCCAAAUAUUUAAGCAUACAAGCAGCUUAAGAAAUUAAGUGCAUGGUUAAAUAUCUAGCUAGAUCAGGGCCAAAACAUUUGGCAUCUCAUAGGAUUGCUCCAUAAAAAUGUUCUUCAUUUUAAAAAAGCUCAUGUUUCAUCAAAAAUAUAUUAGGAAUUACCAACUUCCUUUUUAGAUGCAAUUUAACAUAGUUAUCUAACACAAUAUCAUGCUUUUUAGCCUUUUCUCUGGAGACAGGUCUUUAGAGGAAGGGUUCUUAUGUCACUCAGCUACAACACAAAGCUAGUUUCUUGACAAGGUAUUGCUGGGGAAUCCCCCCUGAAGUUGUAAGCAGUCUCGGCAGGUUCCAGCAAGGAAGGAAAGGUGGUCUGAAGGACACAAAUAUGCAAGGACUUGUCAUUUACAAGGGGUAUGUUCCAAAACAGUGUUCGUAGCAGGACAUCAAGGGGCCGGCCCAGAUAGGGAGGUCAGAUACAAGUGUUUGAGGCAGACUUGCUCUCUCUUUGUCAAGCAAUUACUUGCACUGUGUAUAGCACAGACUGUGAGAUAGGGAUCAGAGCCCUCUGUGCUACUUACCAGCAUGAACACAGAGUUACUGUCCCACAGACCUUCUGUCCAAAUAAUCACAGCAAGAACUGGGAGGGGAAACUAUGCUUUGCCAAUGGACAGAGCAAAAAGCUUACUUGUCUCUCUUUCCAGAAGCAGUUACAGGGGCUAGUAUUGGAGAAGACCACAAGACAUUGGCAAGAUCUCUUCCUUCACGCUUAAAAUACCACUUCACAAGUUUAAUGGAGCUGCUUCAUGGUCCACCAUGUUUUCCUCUGCCCACUACCACCUUCACCAGUCUAUCCCUGUGCCUAAGCAGUGGGGACACUUGAAGCGCAUGGGGGCAGGGAGUUUCAUCAGUAUCUCCCAGAAGUGAUAGGUCAAGAGGAAGUCAAGUCAAGCUAGAUGGCCCUUUACUGAUCCUCCCUCUUAAGGCCAUAAAUAGCUCUAUCCUCUGUGACCCUCGGCCUCCCGCAGUCCUUCCCCACCUCUGCCUCCUCCCCAGCACAGGCUGCUCCUUGCCCUCUGCAGAUCAUUGUCUCCCUGUUAAUUGCUCUGCCUAGGAGGAACAGGUCAGCAGCUUCAGGUGAGAGCCAGAGAGAGCUGUUAAUAAGUAAAUGAUAAAAAAAAAAAAA
rnacentral:lncRNA from 1 species